rnacentral:rRNA from 1 species
AACGAACGCUGGCGGCAUGCCUAACACAUGCAAGUCGAACGAGACCUUCGGGUCUAGUGGCGCACGGGUGCGUAACGCGGGGGAACCUGCCCUUAGGUUCGGAAUAACUCCCCGAAAGGGGUGCUAAUACCGGAUAAUGUCUUCGGACCAAAGAUUUAUCGCCUUUGGAUGGGCCCGCGUUGGAUUCGCUAGUUGGUAGGGUAAAAGCCUACCAAGGCGACGAUCCAUAGCUGGUCUGAGAGGAUGAUCAGCCACACUGGGACUGAGACACGGCCCAGACUCCUACGGGAGGCAGCAGUGGGGAAUAUUGGACAAUGGGCGAAAGCCUGAUACAGCAAUGCCGCGGGAGUGAUGAAGGCCUUAGGGUUGUAAAGCUCUUUUACCCGGGAUGAGAAUGACAGUACCGGGAGAAUAAGCUCCGGCUAACUCCGUG